rnacentral:rRNA from 1 species
AGAGUUUGAUCAUGGCUCAGAGUGAACGCUGGCGGCGUGCCUAACACAUGCAAGCCGAACGAGAACGGAACUAGCUUGCUAGUUUGUCAGCUAAGUGGCGCACGGGUGAGUAAUAUAUAGUUAAUCUGCCCCAAAGAAGAGAAUAAUUGUUGGAAACGACUUGUAAUGCUCUAUAUGCCUUUAUCACAUAAGUGAGCAAGGGAAAUAUUUAUAGCUUUGGGAUGAGACUGUACGGUAUCAGCUAGUUGGUGAGGUAAUGGCUCACCAAGGCUAUGACAUCUAACUGGUUUGAGAGGAUGAUCAGUCACACUGGAACUGAGACACGGUCCAGACUCCUACGGGAGGCAGCAGUGGGGAAUAUUGCACAAUGGAGGAAACUCUGAUGCAGCAACGCCGCGUGGAGGAUGACACAUUUCGGUGCGUAAACUCCUUUUAUUAGGGAAGAUAAUGACGG